rnacentral:rRNA from 1 species
CCUACGGGAGGCAGCAGUGGGGAAUAUUGCACAAUGGGCGAAAGCCUGAUGCAGCAAAGCCGCGUGAGCGAUGAAGGCCUUCGGGUCGUAAAGCUCUGUCCUCAAGGAAGUUAAUGACGGUACUUGAGGAGGAAGCCCCGGCUAACUACGUGCCAGCAGCCGCGGUAAUACGUAGGGGGCUAGCGUUAUCCGGAAUUACUGGGCGUAAGGGGUGCGUAGGUGGUUUCUUAAGUCAGAGGUGAAAGGCUACGGCUCAACCUUAGUAAGCCUUUGAAACUGGGAAACUUGAGUGCAGGAGAGGAGAGUGGAAUUCCUAGUGUAGCGGUGAAAUGCGUAGAUAUUAGGAGGAACACCAGUUGCGAAGGCGGCUCUCUGGACUGUAACUGACACUGAGGCACGAAAGCGUGGGGAGCAAACAGGAUUAGAUACCCCGGUAGUC